UAGAUUCCGUCACCACCAAAAGAGUUAAACACAGGGACACAUAUGAAGUCUCGGAGCCGGGUGUUGGUUCCGGUAGCGAUCGAGGGAAAUUAGUACCGAAGUCCGGGAUGGAAGAUGGCGAGAAAAGCUGUGUGUAUUUCUGCGGUGCCCGUACCGCAAACCGACACAGGUAGGUAGGAAGAAGAUUCUAAGGCCAACGGGAGAAGGGUUGUUAAGGAACUCGGCAAAUUGACCCCGUAACUUCGGGAGAAGGGGUGCUGCAGCAAUGCAGCCGCAGAGAAUCGGCCCAAGCAACUGUUUACCAAAAACACAGGUUUGUGCUAAAUCGAAAGAUGACGUAUACGAGCUGACGCCUGCCCGGUGCUGGAAGGUUAAGAGGAGAUGUGCAAGCAUUGAAUCGAAGCCCCAGUGAACGGCGGCCGUAACGAUAACGGUCCUAAGGUAGCGAAAUUCCUUGUCAGGUAAGUUCUGACCCGCAUGAAAGGCGUAAUGAUUUGGGCACUGUCUCAACAGCCCGCCCGGCGAAAUUGUAGUACCGGUGAAGAUGCCGGUUACCCGCGACAAGACGGAAAGACCCCAUGGAGCUUUACUGUAGCCUAAUAUUGGGUUUCGAUGUUGCAUGCACAGGAUAGAUGGGACACUGGGAAGCAGGUGCUUUGGCGCUUGUGGAGUGGCCGUUGGGAUACCAUCCUUGCGAUAUUGGAAUUCUAACCUGCGCCUUUGAAUCAAGGCGGGGGACAUUGUUAGGUGGGCAGUUUGACUGGGGCGGUCGCCUCCUAAAGAGUAACGGAGGCGUUCAAAGGUUCGCUCAGCUUGAACGGAAAUCAAGCAAAAGAGUGCAAACGCAGAAGCGAGCCUAACUGCGAGACUGACGGGUCGAGCAGUAACGAAAGUUGGAGUUAGUGAUCCGGUGGUAUGUGAGUGGAAAUGCCAUCGCUCAACGGAUAAAAGUUACCCUGGGGAUAACAGGCUGAUCUCCCCCAGGAGUCCACAUCGACGGGGAGGUUUGGCACCUCGAUGUCGGCUCAUCGCAUCCUGGGGCUGUAUUCGGUCCCAAGGGUUUGGCUGUUCGCCAAUUAAAGCGGUACGCGAGCUGGGUUCAGAACGUCGUGAGACAGUUCGGUCCCUAUCUGUCGUGGGCGCAGGAUAUUUGAUGGGAGCUGUUCCUAGUACGAGAGGACCGGAGCGGACGUACCUCUGGCGCACCAGUUGUUCUGCCAAGAGCAUAGCUGGGCAACUAUGUACGGAUCGGAUAAACGCUGAAAGCAUCUAAGCGUGAAGCCGACCCAAAGAUAAGAUAUCCCAUUGUUUCAAACAAGUAAGACCCCUUGAAGACUACAAGGUUGAUAGGCACGAUGUGUAAGUGGAGCGAUCCAUUCAGCAAGCGUGUACUAAUAGGUCGAGGGCUUGAUC
rnacentral:rRNA from 1 species